rnacentral:rRNA from 1 species
GAUGAACGCUGGCGGCGUGCCUAAUACAUGCAAGUCGAGCGAACAGACGAUGAGCUUGCUUCUCUGACGUUAGCGGCGCACGUGUGAGUAACACGUGUAUAACCUACCUAUAAUACUGGGAUAACUUUGGGAAACCGGCGCUAAUACCGUAUAAUAUCUUGCUCCGCAUGGUUCAAUAGUGAAAUACGGUCUUGCUGUCACUUAUAGAUGGAUCCGCGCUGCAUUAGCUAGUUGGUAAGGUCACGGCUUACCAAGGCGACGAUGCGUAGCCGACCUGAGAGAGGGGUAGGCGACACGAGAACGGGGACAGGGACAAGACGACUAAGGGAGGCAGCAGAAGGGAAUGGUACGCAAUGGGCGAAAGCAUGACGGAGCAAGGGCGAGUGAGAGAUGAAGGUGUUGGGAUCGUAAAAAUGGGUUAUUAGGGAAGAACAGAUGUGGAAGGAAAUGUGGAGAGAGUGACGGUAACUAAUAAGAAAGCAACGGCUAACUACGUG